rnacentral:rRNA from 1 species
UCCGUAGGCGGGCAAUUAAGUCAGAGGUGAAAUCCCACAGCUCAACUGUGGAACUGCCUUUGAUACUGGUUGUCUUGAGUUACAGUGAAGUAGAUAGAAUAUGUAGUGUAGCGGUGAAAUGCAUAGAUAUUACAUAGAAUACCGAUUGCGAAGGCAGUCUACUAACUGUAUACUGACGCUAAUGGACGAAAGCGUGGGGAGCGAACAGGAUUAGAUACCAUGGUAGUCC